UACGAAGGGGGCUAGCGUUGCUCGGAAUCACUGGGCGUAAAGCGCACGUAGGCGGCUUUUUAAGUCAGGGGUGAAAUCCUGGAGCUCAACUCCAGAACUGCCUUUGAUACUGAGAGGCUCGAGUCCGGAAGAGGUGAGUGGAACUGCGAGUGUAGAGGUGAAAUUCGUAGAUAUUCGCAAGAACACCAGUGGCGAAGGCGGCUCACUGGCCCGGUACUGACGCUGAGGUGCGAAAGCGUGGGGAGCAAACAGG
rnacentral:rRNA from 1 species